rnacentral:sRNA from 1 species
UUCGACACAGUCCUCACGUAAUUUGUCGA